GCUGUUCUCAACCUAAUGCUGACCAACAAGGAGGAAGUGAUGGCUGAAGUAGAAAUAAUGAGAAACUUGGGAGCCAGUGACUAUUCCAUCACAGAGUUCAGGAAAGAAUCAGAGAAAAAAGACUUACAGGAUCAAAAUAUUCUUUGCCAAGAAGCAGAAGGAAAAAUCCCAUCAGUGGAUCUGCAAGAAAAUUGUCAAUAAAAUCAAGUACAACUUACAGAGGCAGAAAAGAAGGUCUAGACAACCAACAAGACAAAAUAAAUCCAGUCCUGAUUUGAAGCAUUUGAUCAUUUUUGAGAUAUAAAUGCUCACACUGGAAAUUUAAUAGAUUCCUGUGAACUGAUAUGAGUGGCUCCAACACCCCUGCCUUCACCCCUCAGUUGAUCCAGGGCAACCCACUCUCAAUCUGGGGCAUCUGGGCAAGAAAAGCCAUGUGGAUCUUCACAACACUUGGAUGAGCUGGAGGUAAAGAACUCUAAGACUUGUAGUGACACAGAGGACCUCGUCACCUUGCCAUCCAUCAUACCACUAUAUCUUCUUUGUUUCCUUUUUGGGGGACUGGGUCUCUGCAUUUUGCCAAGGCUUGAAGUGCAGCACCCACUCAUCAGCCUGAAUCUAAUGCUCAUCAGCAUAGGAGCUUUGACCUACUCCAUUUUUUACCUUGAUGGAUUCAUCUCUCCUUAAGCAGCCUGGUGGACUCCUCUCCGAGGGGCUCAUCAUAUUGAUGCUAUGGCUCAGAACUCCUAAGAUGUAGUGAUCCAUUAGCCUCUGCCUUUCUGGUAGCAGAGAUUACUGGCAUGUGCUACUAAACUUGACCUGGGCACUUCAUUCCAAAGUCUUCUGUGUCUUACCGUCUUCCCAGACCACUAAGCAUUCUCAUCUGACCCAGUCAGCACCCUAAGAACUCCCCGGCCUAGACAUUUACCCUGUUGCUGUGCCCUUAGGACUUCCAGGUCUCUCUGUCUAUCAUGCUGCUGAACUCUGUUUUAUGUGUUAACUCUUUUAAUCAAUGUGUAAGCUUCUUCAGAGGAAAGUCUAUCUCAUUUCCCCCUAUUUAUAUCCUGAGCAAUGCCCUGCCCAUAGUGAACACUAAUAAAUAUCUUUUUCAUUUGUUAAUUUAUUCACUCAUUCACAAGAAGAUUGCCAGAAGCAUGUGAACAUUUUGAGUGUAGACAAGGCAGAAAAGAAAAAAACUAGUGUUUCUAGCUGAGACCUAAAGCCAGUGAGAUUUUAGCACUAUUCUUUCAAAGUAACAGGGGUAGAACCAGCACCCACAGCUCACUGCACAGAGAGACAGGGUCAGGAAGUGGAUGCUUAGCUUCUAAAAAAGUCUAAAGAAUACACCAGGCACCCUGGCACUAUAGACCAAAACUAGAAAAGGAGAUAGCAUCGCUACAGCACUUUGACUGUCAAAGACACAAACCCAGCAGAGUGUUCAGGCAGCCCAUGCUAGAUCCACAGCAGGAAAUAAGUCCAGCAUAGCAGUCAGGCAUUCUGUUUGCCAUAGAGCCACCAAGAAGCCUGAAGUCAUCUCUCAAUAAAUAUAAAUAAAUGAAAAAGGUAAAUCAAGCAACUACUUAUGCUUAAAGGCACUAUAAACAAUGAAUUACUAUCAAUACUUAACAUAUAUGUGCUGAAUGGCAUAGCAUCUAAUAUUUAAAGGAAAAGUUAAUUGAUUUAUAGGGAGAAAUAGAAAGAACAUAUAAUAUAAUAAUUUAAUGAAACGCCUUGAAAAACUAAAAAAUUUAACAAAAAGAUAAGAAAGAAGUGAAGGACCUAAAUAAAAUCUUAGGAAACUUAGAUAUGACAAAUAACUAGCAAUUCCUAAAUGGGAAUCAAAAGAAGAACGCAUAUACCUCAGCUGUGCAUGGAACAUUUAUAAAAAUUGAUGAUGCAUUAGCAUGUAUUUCACAAAUGCAUAAAAGCAGAAACAUUACAUAAAUACUACACUGACUACAAUAUUAUAAAAAGUUAACCAAUAAAGGCCUUCGAAAAAAGAUUAAAAGUAAUUCUAAAUAAUUUGUGGGUCAAAGAGUUGAUAAUUUCAUCAAGAAACAUUAAAACAAUGAGAUGUGCCAAAAAUUUUGAGAUAUAGUCAAAGAAGUAUGUAAGAGGAUUGAAAAAAAAACUCUGAACACUUUGAUCAACAGAAAAAAGAAAAAAAUAAUUGAAUUGGGCAUACAAGUAAAGAAAACUAGAUAGGAAAAAA